GAAGCUUGGUAGCAGUUGUUACUACGUCUCUACUGAGUACAAAUCCUGGGAGGAGAGCAGACAGGACUGCAGAGACAGAGGAGCAGACCUGGUGGUUAUCAAGAGCCAAGAACAACAGAUAUUUGUCAAUUGGUUAUGUGGAGUAAAGAAAUAUGUCUGGAUUGGUCUGACUGACUCUGUUACUGAGGGGACCUGGAAAUGGGUGGACGACACACCACUGACCACAACGUAUUGGAACAGUGGA